UCGAGCGAAAAAAUUAAGAAUGAGACCAGUGGAAUACUGUAUAUGUGCCUAUCUGUGCUGCACAAGCGUUAGCGUUGUGCUAGCGUGUUGCUGCUGUGUUACUGGCGUGUCUCAGUGAUAUUUACCGGUUCGAUGAGCUUGAACUCCAUGCCACGGCCCGUCCAGGCGAUGAAAUGUGAGUUGGCGGGGUCAUCCAGCAGCGCGACCAGGAACUGCCACAGCUGAAGAGACCCUCGCCGCUGGUAGGACGGACCCUCGCGGUACAGGCCCGCUUCCUGCUUGAUGUCCCCUAGAAGCAGGAAACACACUGAGGAGUGCCGGCCUUCGUUGUUAAAUGGCAGCGCGGCGGCGGAGACAAAACGUGUGGCCUCAUUUUACACCUCCGCACUUCCCUGCUAAGUUAUGCUAAUGGUAAGCAUCUGUGGAGAUGAGACAAAGAAGAAGCUUCUUCCUUCUCCACGCUUCCACCAUGCUGCUCACCCUAACCCGCGCCAGCGUGACAUUGAAGACGACCGCCAAGUCCAAGUCCAAGUCCGACACGUUACGGCCGGAAAGACGACCCGAAAGUCACUCGGAUAUUUACCGUGCUAAUACUAGCGACGAGAAUGUGCGCCCGUGUCCGUUAUAGCGGACGAGCUAAAAGGAAAAGAAGCGCCGUUUGUGUGCGUUGCUGCUCAUUGAAAACCCCCAAAAAUGAAAAAAGAAAAAAAAAAUGUUUUUAAAGAUCUGUUUUCUAAUUUAUGGUCUGGUUGAACGUUUUAGUGUUUAGUCGUCUUUUGUUAUUAAGAGCCGUUUGUAUGUGCUGCUGCUCCACGUGUUUGUAAAGUAGCCGUUUGAAAGUCCGGAAUCAUCGCAACCUCGAACGUUUAAGAAUGUCGCAGUCUGUGCAGUGUUUGUUUUUUGUUUUUUUAAUUAAAAAAAUUAAAAGUCAAA